rnacentral:rRNA from 1 species
UAAGCGACUAAGCGUACACGGUGGAUGCCCUGGCAGUCAGAGGCGAUGAAGGACGUGCUAAUCUGCGAUAAGCGUCGGUAAGGUGAUAUGAACCGUUAUAACCGGCGAUUUCCGAAAUGGGGAAACCCAGUGUGAUUCGUCACACUAUCAUUAACUGAAUCCAUAGGUUAAUGAGGCGAACCGGGGGAACUGAAACAUCUAAGUACCCCGAGGAAAAGAAAUCAACCGAGAUUCCCCCAGUAGCGGCGAGCGAACGGGGAGCAGCCCAGAGCCUGAAUCAGUGUGUGUGUUAGUGGAAGCGUCUGGAAAGGCGCGCGAUACAGGGUGACAGCCCCGGACACAAAAAUGCACAUACUGUGAGCUCGAUGAGUAGGGCGGGACACGUGGUAUCCUGUCUGAAUAUGGGGGGACCAUCCUCCAAGGCUAAAUACUCCUGACUGACCGAUAGUGAACCAGUACCGUGAGGGAAAGGCGAAAAGAACCCCGGCGAGGGGAGUGAAAAAGAACCUGAAACCGUGUACGUACAAGCAGUGGGAGCCUCUUUUAUGGGGUGACUGCGUACCUUUUGUAUAAUGGGUCAGCGGCUUAUAUUCUGUAGCAAGGUUAACCGAAUAGGGGAGCCGAAGGGAAACCGAGUCUUAACGGGCGUUAAGUUGCAGGGUAUAGACCCGAAACCCGGUGAUCUAGCCAUGGGCAGGUUGAAGGUUGGGUAACACUAACUGGAGGACCGAACCGACUAAUGUUGAAAAAUUAGCGGAUGACUUGUGGCUGGGGGUGAAAGGCCAAUCAAACCGGGAGAUAGCUGGUUCUCCCCGAAAGCUAUUUAGGUAGCGCCUCGUGAAUUCAUCUCCGGGGGUAGAGCACUGUUUCGGCAAGGGGGUCAUCCCGACUUACCAACCCGAUGCAAACUGCGAAUACCGGAGAAUGUUAUCACGGGAGACACACGGCGGGUGCUAACGUCCGUCGUGAAGAGGGAAACAACCCAGACCGCCAGCUAAGGUCCCAAAGUCAUGGUUAAGUGGGAAACGAUGUGGGAAGGCCCAGACAGCCAGGAUGUUGGCUUAGAAGCAGCCAUCAUUUAAAGAAAGCGUAAUAGCUCACUGGUCGAGUCGGCCUGCGCGGAAGAUGUAACGGGGCUAAACCAUGCACCGAAGCUGCGGCAGCGACACUGUGUGUUGUUGGGUAGGGGAGCGUUCUGUAAGCCUGUGAAGGUGUACUGUGAGGUAUGCUGGAGGUAUCAGAAGUGCGAAUGCUGACAUAAGUAACGAUAAAGCGGGUGAAAAGCCCGCUCGCCGGAAGACCAAGGGUUCCUGUCCAACGUUAAUCGGGGCAGGGUGAGUCGACCCCUAAGGCGAGGCCGAAAGGCGUAGUCGAUGGGAAACAGGUUAAUAUUCCUGUACUUGGUGUUACUGCGAAGGGGGGACGGAGAAGGCUAUGUUGGCCGGGCGACGGUUGUCCCGGUUUAAGCGUGUAGGCUGGUUUUCCAGGCAAAUCCGGAAAAUCAAGGCUGAGGCGUGAUGACGAGGCACUACGGUGCUGAAGCAACAAAUGCCCUGCUUCCAGGAAAAGCCUCUAAGCAUCAGGUAACAUCAAAUCGUACCCCAAACCGACACAGGUGGUCAGGUAGAGAAUACCAAGGCGCUUGAGAGAACUCGGGUGAAGGAACUAGGCAAAAUGGUGCCGUAACUUCGGGAGAAGGCACGCUGAUAUGUAGGUGAAGUCCCUCGCGGAUGGAGCUGAAAUCAGUCGAAGAUACCAGCUGGCUGCAACUGUUUAUUAAAAACACAGCACUGUGCAAACACGAAAGCGGACGUAUACGGUGUGACGCCUGCCCGGUGCCGGAAGGUUAAUUGAUGGGGUCAGCGCAAGCGAAGCUCUUGAUCGAAGCCCCGGUAAACGGCGGCCGUAACUAUAACGGUCCUAAGGUAGCGAAAUUCCUUGUCGGGUAAGUUCCGACCUGCACGAAUGGCGUAAUGAUGGCCAGGCUGUCUCCACCCGAGACUCAGUGAAAUUGAACUCGCUGUGAAGAUGCAGUGUACCCGCGGCAAGACGGAAAGACCCCGUGAACCUUUACUAUAGCUUGACACUGAACAUUGAGCCUUGAUGUGUAGGAUAGGUGGGAGGCUUUGAAGUGUGGACGCCAGUCUGCAUGGAGCCGACCUUGAAAUACCACCCUUUAAUGUUUGAUGUUCUAACGUGGACCCGUGAUCCGGGUUGCGGACAGUGUCUGGUGGGUAGUUUGACUGGGGCGGUCUCCUCCUAAAGAGUAACGGAGGAGCACGAAGGUUGGCUAAUCCUGGUCGGACAUCAGGAGGUUAGUGCAAUGGCAUAAGCCAGCUUGACUGCGAGCGUGACGGCGCGAGCAGGUGCGAAAGCAGGUCAUAGUGAUCCGGUGGUUCUGAAUGGAAGGGCCAUCGCUCAACGGAUAAAAGGUACUCCGGGGAUAACAGGCUGAUACCGCCCAAGAGUUCAUAUCGACGGCGGUGUUUGGCACCUCGAUGUCGGCUCAUCACAUCCUGGGGCUGAAGUAGGUCCCAAGGGUAUGGCUGUUCGCCAUUUAAAGUGGUACGCGAGCUGGGUUUAGAACGUCGUGAGACAGUUCGGUCCCUAUCUGCCGUGGGCGCUGGAGAACUGAGGGGGGCUGCUCCUAGUACGAGAGGACCGGAGUGGACGCAUCACUGGUGUUCGGGUUGUCAUGCCAAUGGCACUGCCCGGUAGCUAAAUGCGGAAGAGAUAAGUGCUGAAAGCAUCUAAGCACGAAACUUGCCCCGAGAUGAGUUCUCCCUGACCCUUUAAGGGUCCUGAAGGAACGUUGAAGACGACGACGUUGAUAGGCCGGGUGUGUAAGCGCAGCGAUGCGUUGAGCUAACCGGUACUAAUGAACCGUGAGGCUUAACCU